rnacentral:rRNA from 1 species
UACAGAGGAGCCAAGCGUUGUCCGGAUUGACUGGGCGUAAAGCGCACGCAGGCGGUUUCGCGCGUGGGGUGUGAAAUCUGGCCGCUUAACGGCCAGGCGCCAUCCCAUACGGCGCGACUGGAGUGAUGCAGAGGUCGAUGGAAUUGCCGGUGUAGUGGUGAAAUGCGUAGAGAUCGGCAGGAACACCCAGGGGGAAGCCAGUCACCUGGGCCCGCGCUGACACUCAUGGACGACCGCGUGGGGAGCGAACCGG